rnacentral:misc_RNA from 1 species
GAAACAAUCUAUGAACAAUGACACAAAAAAUGCAAAAAGAAAAAAAAAAGGAAUUAAAAUUAAAAUGGAAAGGCAAAUCAAAAGCAAACCCAGAUAGCGUCUAUCGGAGCAAAACCCAACACCCAUGGAAGCAACAAACACCAGGACAUGCAAUGCAACACUAGACAUAAAGGAAUUUGAGAGGUAUUGUGAGCAUAUUGCAAGAACUAAUGGAACUUGAGGUGCAAAAAUACUGCUACAGUCUUGUGGAUGAGAGGCGUUUGGUUUGAGAAGAAAAAUCCAAC